ACCUCCCCCCCCCCCCCCCGCCAUGUCAACAUGGGCUGAUGAAAAUGUUGAUGUUAUUGUGUCCAAGGAAAAAUCUGCUAGCAAUUUGGUGACAUAAUGGUUCUAAAAUUAGCCCUGUACAUGUGCUGGGAGUGUCACGAAAUGAAUAUUUGAAUUUUAGCGGGUUGACUUAUGUUUUUCAAUAAAUUUUUACUUGGAUUCAUUUUUGCUGUUUCAUUUAUUUAUUUCUGAAUGUUUUUGUGUCUUGAUAUCAACAUGAAAUAAACAUGUUACUCAGGUC